GGACAAUGCUCUCUUGUUUACCGUCUAAUUCAACUGUUUACAUAUAGUAGUGAGGAGGAGACAGAUUUAGACAUUGUGAAAAAUUGUAAGGGCAGUAAUGAUGGAGGCUCGUCUGCUGAAGCUGCCCUCGGGGAAGAUUUCUAAUGACACCGCGUUCCUCAUGGACGAUGAUGACCGCAUGGCAAGGCUGAGACAUUUAAUGCAAGUAAAAGAAGACCUUAAGAAUGAAAUAGAGAAGAGUGCUUUGGAGGCUGAUGAGUGGCUUCAAAUACUGGAGACCUCAUCAAGUACUGAACUUGAGGACCUCAUGUUGUCCCUCCCCUCCACUGCGCCCAUGACCAUAGAGCACCAAGGCAUCUUAAAGGAGUACUGUCAACUGUCUACCCAGUUGCAGGCUUACUCCUUCCAUGAGACCACUGCAGCGUACAUGACAGCUGAAGGAAAUCUGCUGCUGAAAUUUUUACGACCUUCCUUCAAGUCUCAAUACUCGACGCUUUUAAUAUUACUCACUAAAGGUGCUGACAACACUUACAGAGUUGGUCAUCACAACAUGCCAGACACUGUGGCAGUUGCUGGAUGUGAGGAGGAGUACCUGAAGAAUGGUGAGAAGAAUGAAGGUGUGAAGAAGUUCAUCACAGCCAUCACUCAGUACACAAAUGCCCUGUAUUUACGCCAAGAUCAAAUUGUUACUUUGCAGAAAGCAGAGUUCCUGAACAAGAUGCAGGUGUACCACAACCAGGGAUGUACCUUCCUCUCCUUCAUGGUGGAAGUAAAGAAUGAGGAUGAGGAAAUAACGUAUGAGUUCACCCUUGACUUUUAUCCUCGAGACAUCCUCCCAUACAGAGUAAAAGCCAGUCAUAUAGAUGGAGCAACACCUAGUUUGAGUCUGGCUGAUAUAAUGCAAGAUAUGGCAGUUGAUAUGAAAGUUGUACCCUUCCCACAAGUUCUGUAUUUAACGUUUGGAGGCCAAGUUUCUGAUCGUUCAACUCCGGAAGACACUUCAGACAGCAACAAUUCUGGAAGCACUGUUUUGUUUGCAGAAUAAGUUAGUGAUCAUAUCCAGUAGUUUUAGGGCAUCUUAAGAAAUUACUGCACUCUUGCUCUUGAGUUUUCAUUGUCAUCUCAUACACUUCAUCUAAGAAUUGUUUAGUUGCCAUUGAAGGUAGAACUAUUGUCCUCAAAACCAUUGUAGUACUUGUCUUAAUUUAAGUACCGGUAACUAGUUGGUGGAUAUCUUUAAUGAUUGUAGUUUAAAAUUACGUACAAGAUAUUUUACAAUAAAAUGCUAUUGUCUUCUCCUUUGGCAAGUUUACAGCACUUGGCCAAGUCUUUGAUUUUAUCCUCAGCUUGCCCCUUAUUUUAGGCUUUAAAAGAUUACAGUACUGUAGUUAUGUCUCUGAUGGUUUUGUCAUGCAAGUCCAUUAUUGAUACAAGACUUUAAACUUAGAAAAUGUGUUUUCCUUUGUACUCUAGUUGUUCUUUAAGAUCAUAAUGGACUGAGUAGCUCUCAGUGUUGGUGGAGGGAAUUGUGUUAUUUUCAUCUGAAUAUUUUAAACUGAUAACUAAUCUUUGACAUUAAAAAGUGUGGAUCAAUGAGUGGCUCAAAAGUUCAGUGAGACUCCAGUUAUGGCUACUACAUCAUAUUCUAUAUGGCCAUAAGUGUGCAGUUACCCUAUUGUACAUGUGGCUGUCAUCCCAUCCUGCAUUUGGUCGUCUCAUCUAAUGCUCGGUCAACCAGGCUGCCACAUUCUACAUUUGGCCACCUCUCAAGCCCCAGAAUAAACAAGACAAAAACUAUAUUAGUUGGUUAACAAUAAAGAUGUUUGAAUUAUUUACCAUUUUUAUUUGUUUUUAUUACAUUUAUUCUGUUGGCAGUAUAAAUGUACUGGUAACUGUUCAUUACUUCUUCCUGACCUAUCACAGUCUCCUGCCCACAUCUCCAUUUCAAAAUCAUAACUCAAGUGUCCCAACCCUUUCCUAGGCUGUUACCUCAACUGUUAACCGAACUGCACAUUGAAGCCUUUUAUCACUACUUUCUCCCUCCAGUCAGUGUUCAGUCCAUUCUUCAUCUACUCUUCCCUGGCUCUAGAUGUUUCAAUAAGAUAUAUUUUGAUUUGAUAUCCUUCUGGCAGAUUCACAAACAUAUUUUUUAAUGAUGAGUAUUGUAGAUUUUUGUAUAUAAAAUGGAUACAGUAUA
rnacentral:misc_RNA from 1 species